rnacentral:tRNA from 1 species
GCGCCCUUAGCUCAGCUGGAUAGAGCGUCUGGCUACGAACCAGAAGGUCGGGAGUUCGAGUCUCUCAGGGCGCG